rnacentral:lncRNA from 10 species
UUACAUGUUUUUCUACAAUUUACACCAAAAUGUCGAAGGUCAAGGUUAUGAUGGCUGCGUUCAUGCAAUUCUAAAUGAGAGCAGUUCACAGGACAGAACUCCACAAACCACAUUCUCAGGGGAAAAGAAGGUAGGUCAAGAGCUGUUAAUGCCCCCAUGCAGAUCAGACAUUUAAAGUAGAUACGGUCAUUUCACCUACAAGCCUGGGACAGCUGUGCCCUGUGGAAUAGGGGCCAUGAGCCACACCUUGUGCUUUAUAGACCCAGGAAGCCCUGCCAAGUUUCCAGAGAAGCCUGUAAUUAUCAUUCCACCCCCUCCAUCGGAAGUACCGAGGUGCAGUGCAGUUACGGUGAGUAAAUAAAGUUGUGUCACCGAGGAAAUUGUCCUUAAAAGAGAAAUCCUCCCAAGUGGCAAACACGCAAUCCUAGAGAGCAUGGGCUACCGCACCACCCUGUGUGAAGGCCGGCGUGAGCCUCAGGCCAGGGGCCAAGAAGGAUGUUAGAGUUAGCGGCUCCGCGUGCUUUCAUUUUUCUUUGCAUCCCCUCAGCCCUUCCCAUCACAGUGUGCACCAUCAGUCCACAAGCCUUUGCUGAACCUACUUUCAAUUCAAAAAGGAAGGCCAGACAAUCCUCUGAGGAAUCCGAAAAAGGAGAGCUGUUUCUCCUUUAAGCGGUUUGUGGAAGGAGGAAAUAUGAGCAAUUGAAAUGAACAAUUUGGAAACCAAAUAAAAGCAAAACUGGAUGAGAAGUGAGAGCCGCAAGCCCUGUGGGAGUGAAGCCGAGCUAGCGUCCCUUCCUUUCUCCCUUUCCUGGGGAAGAAAUCCCGGACGCCUGAAAAAGCUGUUCUCUUCAUUUGAGGGACUGCAGCUUCUCUCACGAAGCUCUCAGUAUUCCUUUUAGGUGCCGUACAUGGUGUUUCUACUUAUGAAAGAUUUUCCAACUAGGUACAGAUGGAAAAUACCGCGGCAGAAAUCUCUGGCCUUUGGGUGGGACAACUCCUGCAAGACACACGUUAGGGCGUGUUUAUUUUCAGAAGGCGGCAGGAGACUUUGCCAACACCAGUGCCCCUUGUUUUGACGGCAUUUUCCCAAGUAACUGAUUAUGUUCCUCUUCUACCAUACACACCUAAUCACAGCAGAUAGAGCCAGACAGGCUGAAAUUCACUGGCUACCCUUUAGCUCCUAGGAGGUGGCUGAGUUAGUCCUGAGGAGUUGCGGUUUACAGAGAGGCAGGGGUACCGGGAGCUUGGCAGAGCUCUCAACAAGAAUCAGGGUGACUGUAAGAGCAGAGACAUUCUGCAAGCUGACGGUGGCUGUCAUUAAGCUCACGCAAGCGGCUAUAUGUUACUGAAAGUUGAUGGCUUCUGAUUUAUUAGCUACACCUGUGUAAUAAGAACAUUUCUCUGCAUUGUUUAACACAGGACACAGACAACGCUUCCACGGCCAAAGUGGGCAAAACUCACUGCCUCGCGUGACAGCGAUCUACAAGACGAUUGCAAACAUGUUAGCAUAGAAGCAUGUACCGAACAUGCAGGGAGGUAACCUGGUGAGUCGGCCACGGGGCCAUCAUCUAAACAAGAGUUUAGAACACUCAUAUGCUAAUGAGCUGAAUUCUGCAAACGCACAGGCCUGCCUCUGACGUCAUUUCUGAUAACGUCUUGCUUUGAAGCAAGCCAACUCCCAUAGCGUAAGCCAGCAGAUAACAGUUAAGGGAACUAAAUGAUUUGUGUAGUUCUCAAAGAGAUAAGAACAAAGUUAACUUAAAUCUGAACCAUUAAGAUGUGAAUUGCUUUUGAGCGUAAACAAAUUUCCCUGAACCUAAAUGCUGCUUUCAUUUUACUGGAUCUUUGGGUUACACAUUAUUGCAUUCAAUGGAAAUUUGCAUUUCAAUAGCAUAGGUCACAUGUGCUACUGUCUCAGGGACCUUUCAGAAGGGAUGUACAGUGCCAGUUAGCAAAAAAUUCUGUUUAUUUAUCCCAUGGCCUGCCAUAUAUUGCCACAUUGAGUUUUGCCCAGAGCCACUGAUUAAAUUUCCAUAUGCUAGCUAUUUUUUUUUUUCUCAGGUUCAAGUUUGGGAAAUAAAAUAAACACACCACACAGAAAAAUCAACCCACAGAAGCAGCCCAUUCUUGUUCUUGACGCCAAAGUGGCUCUGGACAAUAGAUCUUUGGCCCCUGAUUAAAUUCCAUAUGCUAUUAAUUGGAUUCCUUUUUUCUUGGGGUCAGGCUUAAGAAAUAAACACACCAUGCGGGAAAAAUCAGCCCACAGAACAGCCCUGGCAUGAAAGUUGUUGGGGGAGGGUGGUGAUGCUCCACUAUACACUCCUCCUGGAAGCCUCAAGCCCAUAUGGCCCCAGUUCCAGAGGAACAGUGGCCGGGGGAAUCAAGGUUGGUUAAUCAGCGACUUCAAGAUAGGGCCGGGGGAGGAAGGGUCAGCCUGCCUUUCCCAGGGGGGCCCCACGGGAUCUGAUGAGGGCAAGGUGGGGCAGGAGAGAAUCUGUGAUGUGAGGAAUUCUCACCCAGAGUCUCUGGAAGGAGCCCACCGCCUUUAUCCAGGCCACACUUCGACCAAUGCACACAUCAUGAAUCAUGAAAAACACAUUUUGAUUUUAACUCAGAAAUUCUAAUACAUAAAUUUUCUAUUUUUAUUAUUUUAUUGUUAUUGCUCCUAGCAAUGAGUUUCA